rnacentral:rRNA from 1 species
UACAGAGGUCUCAAGCGUUGUUCGGAUUCAUUGGGCGUAAAGGGUGCGUAGGCGGCGCGGUAAGUCGGAUGUGAAAUCUCGGGGCUUAACUCUGAAACUGCAUUCGAUACUGCCGUGCUUGAGGACUGGAGAGGAGACUGGAAUUUACGGUGUAGCGGUGAAAUGCGUAGAUAUCGUAAGGAAGACCAGUGGCGAAGGCGGGUCUCUGGACAGUUCCUGACGCUGAGGCACGAAGGCCAGGGGAGCAAACGGG